UGUAAAAUCACCUCAAAUCCAAUUAAUUUGUAUUGAAUCCUCUCGCUAAAUAUCAAAUUAACGAUGUCUGAAAAUAUGAGAGAAAAUCGAACUCGUUCACUAUCCAAAAAAAGAGAAAAUAGAUGAGGUUUCAAAAAUAAAAUUCAUUGCGAAAGAUCGAAAGAUCGUGAAUCAAAAGCCUAAAGUGACCGACGCCAUCAUGCGUUUAUCACGAGACAGUUACGUUCGUAUAUUCAUUUCUCGCCAAAAGUCCGCUCUAAAAUCGCCCAACGAUUUGGAGUAGUAUCUUGCUGAAGUUUUCGGCUAACCUGCGUUGCAUGACAUUUAUGAUCGAUUCAUGUACUGUACUGAGCCAGAGAUCGAGAUUGACUGAGCUAGCUACGCCAUCAUCGCCUGUAAAACAUUGAGAUUUGGGUCGGCCGGCGCUAAUUCCUAAAAAACAAAGGGGGAAAUAUCCGCACUACAUAAUUAUCCAGGACUGGUUCGGUCGGCCGUACAUUGGAUAUUUCUUUGGGGAUCUAGUGUCUCACUAGACUCUGGGUAAAUGAACUGUUAGCUGCUACUUUUCAUCGUGUCUGACUCUGAGCUGUUACUGAGCUGUGACUGAGUGAGUUGUGCUGAAAUCCUGUUUGACUGUGCUGUGCAUGCUGUGGUUGGCCUGCCCUGGCCGCGCCGGGCUGCGAGCCGAGCUGGCUGGCCUGGGGCUGUGUACGAAUUAUUCGUUCUUGGACAAAAUUAUCAGUACCGGUACUAUCCUCUGGAUUGUCCGAGAAUGGUGAUGUCAACAUGUUGUAAAACACAUCCUUGCCAUCAAAGGUGUUGUUCCUGAUUGUGGAUAGAUCAGGAGGUGAUGAUCAGGAUAGGAAUGGAAGUGCUAAGUCAUAUCAAGGAUUUACGCCAAACAUAUUGGAAUUCCUGUUUUUUCUUCUUUUGAUUGGUUUUUGGGAAGUGGCCAUAGCCCCCAUUUUGUAAAAAAUAAUAAUAAUGAUAACAAUAAUUUACUUUUAUAAAGCGCUAUACCAAGUAUUAACCUGCUCAAAGCGCUUCACAAUGUAAUAUUAGCCUGUUCAUAAGAUUAAAUUCCAUGGCAAUGCUAACAUUACCCAUUAACACCUGGGUGCGGUGAAGCAAUUGAAGAUGAAAUUGCCAAAAGACAUAAGUUUGCAUCCCCAGUCAAGUGAUAUGACCACUAGAUAAUCAUUUUGAUGAACCAUCUUCCGAAACUGCUUUUCAUUUAAAUACUCUAGGGCCAACAGAGUGUUUUUCAAAGUGGAGGGGCCCAAGUGCUAAAAAUUAAUGUGAGCCUAUUUUGUUUUUGGUCAAUAUCUGACUGGCCGAUAGUGCUCUCAGUAGGGGGGGGGGGGGGGGGGGGUAGGCGUGGAAUCAGGUUGGCAGAAAGAGCUCUCAGUGAGGGUGGGGGAUAUGCGUUUAAAACAAAUUCAGCCCCAAAAAUUGUAUCAAAAUAAUUUCGAGGUAAAAAAAAUGGGCAGGGAUAGGGGUACAAUGACUCCCGUCUUCCCUACAAAGAUAUGAUUUUUUUUCGGGGGGGGGGGGGGGGGAGGGGCCGACAGUGAAUUUUGGUCGUUUUAGGCACUUUUUUUUAUGAAUUUUAUAAAAAUCUAUACUUUGACAUUAGCAAGUCGUGCUACUUCAUAAUAAUUCUAUUAUACUUGUUUUUAAUGAAUAUACAUACAUUGCAACAGAAAA
rnacentral:lncRNA from 1 species